GCCUGGGUGGCUCGGUCGGUUAAGCACCUGACUUCGGCUCAGGUUGUGAUCUCAUGGUUCGUGGGUUCGAGCCCCACAUUGGGUU
rnacentral:tRNA from 1 species